UACUUCUCAACAAUCACAUGUCCCGCUUAACAUCGCCUGUUUCAAUUGAAUGACCAUUUCUUUUGUCUGCUGACCAAGUUAGUCACUAUAUACCCAACUUUCUAAUUUUGAUUCAUGAUUUGCGUAUAGUCAACUUCUAUAUUACAGAACUGAAGCGAUUCAAGUAUGGUUUUUAGGAUAUUAAUGCUUGGUUAGCUUAUGAUUUUUAAUCUUAUUAGUGGAACUUUCUACAUGCUGCCUUAGUUUGUUGAAGUUUCUUUUAUUGGUUGAGGAUUUCCUGUAGCUUGUGCAUACCACCUUGUUUGACCUUGCUUCUAUAAUUUUUAAGAUGAUCUGAUUGUUGGCUCCAUUUUUUGUAACUCAACAAGUUCUUUUGAAUUAUUUUGACUUUCUGAUAUAUUCUCCUCCUGUUCGUGUUCAGGAGACAGUUGUUCCACAUGCUUGACCUCACAUUUGCCACUGCUUCGUUUUUUAACGCUUGUAUCACCUGCACCACCUUUAAAAUCACACUCCAAUUUCUCUUUCUGUAAACAAAUAAGAAAUCUAGAGUAAUGUCAGCAAUCCUUUGAAAACAAUUUGUAACUUUAAUAUACUCUACUAAUUAAGGCUUUAAGCCUUGAACUGGUUGAAUUAAGGGGAUACCUCAACAAAAAAACUAACCACAUUCAGCUCCUUUGGAAACUCAAGUGCUUCUUCUGGAUUCUCGUCUUUCCUCCCUAUCCAUCAUGCAUCAGAAAACACAAUCUGCAAAAGAAAUAAGCCAUAAAUCAAGAAAACAGAAACAACAACAACAACAACCCAGUAUAAUCCCACUUAGUGGUGUCUGGGGAGGGUAGUGUGUANNNNNNNNNNNNNNNNNNNNNNNNNNNNNNNNNNNNNNNNNNNNNNNNNNNNNNNNNNNNNNNNNNNNNNNNNNNNNNNNNNNNNNNNNNNNNNNNNNNNNNNNNNNNNNNNNNNNNNNNNNNUUCCAAAUAGACCCCCGGCAUCCUUCCCUCCAAGAACUUCCCACCUUGCUCUUAGGGAGACUCGAACUCACAACCUCUCGGUUGGAAGUGGGGUUGAGAACUAAAUGUAACUAAGUGCAGAAUAAGUACUUUCUCUUUUUCAUCAAAACCUUAUAAUAAGUUGAACCGCAACAGAAGUAAACCAAACCCCAAAUUUGGAGAGUCAAGUAUCUGGUUCCAUCAAGAGUUGUGCCAUAGCCCACAAUUGUCACACCAUGAUCCAAUUUAGUACCACAGUCUCCAGUGAAUACGCCUUGCCAUAUUUACAGUUCAUAAAUGUUUAUAACUAGUAAAAACUUUUUAACUUGAGAUGAAUGCUCUAUCAUUUACGUCAGAGUAGAACUGGAAGUCAGAACCUGAAGCUUGUAUAGCUACAGAAACAGGCUGGUUGGCUACUGCUUUAACUAGGUACAAGACUGAUAAGACAUCCUACUGAUGUAACCAUUUAUCAAUUAAUAAUCUGAUGGAACAGAGACUUACCUUUUGAAUGUCACACUUGCCAUCUUCAGCCAUGUAUGGAUAGUUGUCCUCAGUAUUGAUGCUUCCCUUCUUCUUGAUGAAUUCAAAUGCCUUGUCCAUCAACCCUUCAUUACAUCCUUGGUUUUGGCUAGUGUCAUAGUCAACAAGUUCUUGUUCUGAUAAAGAUACUAACUCAUUUGUUUUGAUUUGGUUUAUCCCCUCUACUGCGACCAGUCCCACCCAAUAUUCCAAGUACAUAAUUGUCCCUGUUCAUCAUCUCUUCAGGCAAUUGCAAAGCCCAAAAUCACCUAUAUAUUGAUUGGAGUUGACAGAAAAGAUUGUGACUUUAUGUUGGAAAGUUUGAACCUCAUGAGUGCCCUGGAAUAUACAUUUCAGCUUAAAAACGUUGAAAGUGCAUGCUUGUUAUUGUAAAUCUCUGGUAAGGUUUAUUUGUGUAUGUAAGCUAGCUAGCGUUGGUGGAAACACAUUGUUGAUAUAUCCAUCUUUAGGUUAUAGUUGUCGCUCUCAAUCUCAACAAUAAAGUCCUCGAUCGCCCCUGAAUUAUAGGUUUCUUUUAUCGAGCUAGAAAUUAGCCUAGUGAUGUUGUAUGUUCAUAAUAGUUGGUAUCUUGAAUGGUAAAUCUUGAAUUGUCGUACUGAAAUUUAUUAAACCAAAGUAAGAUUAACCAUUUCAAAGCUUUUCUAAUUAAUUUUUCUUAUAUUCUUGUAGCUUUGUUGAUGUUGCUGGAUAACACCUUGUACAUUUAGACUGCUUUUGGGGUAAGCGAUUUAACUAUUGCUCAUUUUAAAUUAUAUAUGUUAUUUUACCAAUAGUUGUUUAUAAUUUUUUUUCAAUCUUUUGUACUUACAGGUUUUGAAGAUUGAAGCUAUAAGUCAAGAUGCAAGCUUAGAAGAUGCACAAGCUCAUUAUUAUUUUGCUAAAAAUAUUAUGCAAAACUUGAUAUCAUAGUCUAGCUCUAAGGUUUUUGUUGUUCAGGUGUUUGAGAAAACAUAGAAAGUAACAUCAUCAUCAAGGGAUUUGACCUUGAUAUCCUAUCUUUUUAUAUCUAGAUUUUUCGAUAACAAUUUGAUAUUUAUUGAUAAAAAUUACUUUUUGUUACAUUGAGCUUUUAGGACUACUCAUGGUUAUUAACAGACCAUGAAUAUUUCGUAAAUUAUAAAAUUAUUUUAAAUAGGGACGUCGU
rnacentral:lncRNA from 1 species